GGAGCUUCGUGCCUUCAGCCAAUAGCGGCUCCCUCGCGAGUGUAUUCAAAACGAGGAGUCGCCGCGCCUCUCCCGGUUAUAUUUAUUGAUUGAUUGAUUGUAUUUUAUUUUAUUUGACAGGGGGAUCUGGCACAACGUCGCACGGGAGUUUAGCCGCAGGGACGGCUCUGAGACACUGAGGCGCCGGGAUCCGAGCUUGGAUUGGCCGGCUUUCUAUGGCGUCGGCGUCGGCAAUCCAACAGUUGAGAGAUCUGAUCGAGAUCCAGGAAGCUUUACUGGAUAAACUGAGACUAAAGAUAAACAUACAGAAAGAGAACUCAGUAAAUAAGGAGGAAUAUGACGCUGUUUUGAAGAAACUAGAGAAAGAAGAGAAAGAACAUGCAGAGACAAAGAACACCUUAGCUAUAACAUCUGAACGCCUGCAGUUUGCCCUAGGAGAGAUUGAUAUUUUGUCGAAACAACUUGAGUGGGAGAAACAAGCAUUUGACAAGGCACUUUCUCAAGUAAACAGUAAAGUGCUGAAACAAUCACUUCAGAAAGACAAACUGAUAAGCAAAUGUACAGAAAUUGAAACCCAUAUUCAGAAGCAGGAAAAUAUUCUCAGCUGCAAAGAAAAUGAAAUCAAGGAAUUGCAUUACUUCGUCAACAAGCAAAAGCAAAUCUUAAAAGUUCAAUCAAUUAGUAAAGCUUUGUUAUGAGAACCGAAGGCCACGCGGGUCGGACAACCUGAGAAGAAGGCUUGGAUCAUCCCCUGAGCUUCAUCUUUGCCAAAGCUCUGUACGAAAGGGACAGAUCUUGUGACUUCAGCCUUGAUGAGGCUACCCAAGGAUCACGUCACUUCUGGAAAGGGGAAUUUUCUUCUGCGCAGUAAUUUGUAACAUUAAGCUACUUCUGAAAUGAGAGAAAGUAUCUUUGGUGUCUGGUUGUCACAAACAAGUCGGUACAAGUAAUAUGUCAAAGUUUGAUCUUGUUCAGCUGUCCUGAAGCAAGCUUACACCUCAGUUCUCAAAUGUUCAUGUACUUAUAAAAAAAAUUGAUGAUAGCUAUUGCUUGUAGCAUAAUUUCUUGCUAGGUUACAUUAAUUAACUAUUUACUCUGGUCCAAUAUGAUCGGGAAUCUUUUUUCUAUAAUCUAAACCAAGAGGAAGACAUUUGUUUUGGUCUUGUUUGGAGAGAGAAAACGAUCGUUUAUAAAUAAGAGGAUUCUUGAAGCAACUGCAGUUCGGGUCCAUCUCUACCUCUGGUUCAUUUGACAUGUCUGAGUACAUCUUUUAAUCAAUAUUUGCACAAUUGAAUCGGCUUUAGUGAGGCAGGAAUCACCAACAGCUUUUAUCACAGCCACUUCCCUUAGGCAUCAAGCAACCUGCCAGGCCUGUCAAACUGGCGACCCACGGGCUGGAUGCAUCAUGUGUAGGCCAUGCUCACCCCGCUGCACAAAGGCAAAAAAAGUCACAUGACGUGAUCGAGUUUGACACCCAUGAUUUAGAUCAGGGGCCUCCAAUGUUGGCAACUUUAAGCUUGGCGGACUUCAACUCCCAGAUUUCCCCAGCCAGCUGACUGGGGAAUUCUGACAGUUGAAGUCCCCCAGGCUUAAUGUUGCCAUAGUUGGAGACCCCUGAUUUAGAUGGUUGAGGUGAAGAAGCCUAGACUUUGGAACUUCCAAAAUUAAGGUCUCUUUGCACUUCAAAGUGCAUUGACUUUUUGCACUUCCUUUGCACUGCUGCGUUUGAAGCUUUCUUCUUGUCUGUGAAAAAAGAUUCUAAUCUAUAUUAGUCAUGUCUCUUGCUUAAGUCUAACUGAAAUGUCUGGAAGUAUGUAAUCCACUACUAAACCAGGCUACAAAGCUUGACACUAUCCAUGUGGUCACACAGCAAUUCUACCUGCUUAAUUUUUCUUUUAUAGAAAAGCUGCUGUAUACGAAUCCGGCCAGUCAUCUAGCUUAGCCUGGGGCAAUUGACACAAAUUAGUAGCACCUUAUCAGAGCUUCCAGCUGAUUUUUCUUUUCUCCCUUAUCUCUAGAUGAAGAUCCAACCUUAGACCUUCUGCAUACAAACCAUAUGCUCCAGUUGAGCAAAAUCUCUCUUUACUAUAUUGUAUUAUGUGAUAUUAACCUAUAUGCAAUCUCUGAGAUCCUUCAGAACUUUUUAUUUAAAGAGUAAUAACUUUCAGAGGCUUAGUGUAUGUUUUGUAGACUAAGACCUCAAGCUGUAUAGCAUCUUAGUCUUACAGACAAAAUAACAAGCCCGUAAGAAUGCGUUAUGCUAUAAUCAGAAUAUAUAGAACACUCACAAAUCCUAUUUCCUUAGACUGGAAAGGAUAUAAAAACUCAUGUUUUGUUUUUUUGUUGCUGAACUGGCUUUCUUUUCUGAUGUUAAAAAAAAAACCAAAUGCAGAUUGAGAACAAAAUUGAAAGUUAAUUUGGAUAAAGAAGAAGAUGGGAUAGAUGGCAGGGGUGUCAAACUCAAUUUCAUGGAGGCCCGCAUCAGGGUUGUGUUUGACCUCAGGGGGCCGGGGUAGGUGUGGCCAGGGUGGGUGUAGCUAGCUCAAUGUCACUCCUGUCAGGGGCACAUGUGGUGGCCCAAGCACUCAAGCUCUAUUUUCACUGUCAGAGGGGUUCAGGAGGCUGUGGCAGUUGAAAACGGAGCUCAGGUGCCCGUUUUCACUGGCAGAAGCACUGUGGGCUGGUCCUUCACUGUUUCCAGGGAGGCCCCGUGGGCCAGAUCUAAGUACCUCACGGGCCGCAUCUGGCACCCGGGCCUUGACUUUGACACCCCUGGGAUAGGGAAUCCAUUGAACAUGAUGAAGGAUUACUAGUAAGAAGACUGAGGAUAAUUGAGCAGUAUUAGAUGAAAGGUCUAGAUGUUGUUAGCCAGUUGUGUUUUCCUACUCUUUCUUCCAAAUUUUUUCUUUGCCCCACAAAAGUAUCUCAAAUGGGAAAAGGUGGAAGAGCUGCAGAAUGAUUUUUGAAGCUUACAGGCUGGAAUAUAGAUUCAUCAACAGAGUGAGAUGACACCCCUCCUGCUAUACAGGUAGUCCUCGAUUUAAAACCAUUCGUUUAGUGACCCUUCAAAGUUGCAACAGUGCUGAAAAAGUGACUUUAUGAUCAUUUCUCACUCUAAUGACCGUUGCAGCAUCCCCGUCACGUGAUUAAAAUGAAUACGUUUAUGACAGUUGCAGUGUCCUGGGGUCAUGUGAUCAGGGCCAGAAUGGUGCAGUGGUUAGAGUGCAGUAUUGCAGGCUAACUCUGCCCAGUGCCUGGAGUUCGAUCCUGACAGGCUUGAGGUGGGCUUGAGGUUGACUCAGCCUUCCAUCCUUCUGAGUCAGUAAAAUGAGGACCCAGAUUGUGGGAUCAAUAUGCUGAUUUUGUAAACUGCUGUAAAGGACAAUGAAGCAGUAUAUAAGUCUAAGUGCUAUUGCUAGUGUUACCAUCUUUUGCAUGGUGAUAUGGUGAAUGGGGAAGCCAGAUUCACUUAAUAACCAUGUUACUAAAAAGUUGUAAAAUGGGGCAUAAAUCACUUAACAACUGUCUUGCUUAGCAACAGAAAUUUUGGGCUCAAUUGUUGUUGUAAGUCGAGGACUACUUGUAUUCCCAUGAUAACACUAGCUCAAGACUUGUGCAGUAAUACUAACUUUAAAUUAAUGACUUUACACCUCUCUCCCCCCCCUCUCUCUCCCCCUCCCUCCCUCCCUCUCUCUGAAUUGCUUCCUGGUCUGGUUUAGUCCUUCUAGUUUUCUUGGCAUGAUUUUUGACUGGAGAAUUCUGGGAGUUGAACUUCACAUAUUCUAAAGUUAGCAAGUUUGAAUGACACUGAUCAAGCAGGUACCAAGCAGGAGCUGCUAAGAGUCAUUUGACCAUAAGCAUUCCAUGUAGGAGAACAACCAUCACUGUGAACUACGGCUUACAAAUUCUGCAAGAGAAAGGUAGAGGAGAUAUGUGCAUUCAUUUUUUUUGGCCAUCAAACAAGAUGAAGAAAGAUGUGGUCUGUUUUCCAAUCACAUAGGAGCAAAGGGUUAGGGUUGCUUGUUGUGCCUUUGGAGCCUUUCUGUAGAAGGAAGAGUCAAGUGAAGGUAAUAUAUAGAAGAAAGGGGGGAAGAUGAGUGAGAACCAGAGAGAAUCAGUAUUAAAUAAAACAUCUGAAUCCCGAAAAUUCUGAAAGUUCUAUUUUUAAUUUUAUGUGAAAGGUGAUUUUUAGGUAGUUCACCACAGUAACAGAGCAACCUUAAUCAAGAACCCAGGCACCACUGGAUUUCCCUCCUUAUUUUAGAACCCUAUGUGUUUUUGGAGCAAUAUUUUGCAAAAGGCUAGCAAAGGGAGUUUUAAGCAAAACCCAUCAGCACACAGCAGUCUCACUAUAUAAGCCUCACAGCCAGAUACCACCAUCCUCAUAUUUCAUACAUCAUAUUAUCUUAUAUUGGCAGCCAGGCAUGAAAGGAUGUCGGGAACAGGAUUUGUCUACAUGCCCGCAGCACAAAGCCAAAGUAGGUUACUUUGAAGUGCAGGUGAAUAUGAUAUCCAUAUAGAACUGUUAUCUUUUGCAGGGUGUAAAGUGAUAGACUCCUUUCUCACAAUCUUUGAGACCAAUCUGCACCAUACAUUUGCCAAAAGAAGAUCCACUUGAUGCAUCUCAGUUGGACACUGAUCCGCAAAAGCAUAUAAUACCAUAAUCUGUCUGUUAAUCUCAUAUGUCAUACACGGUUCUUGUUUGUGCUUUCUUUUUAAAUUUUAUAUUAAUACUUGGUUUGUGGUGCAAAACACUUUUGAAUGAUUAAGACUCAAACAGAGCUUUUAGGUUAGUCUUUGGAUAAAGUCUGUAUUUGGUGGAGUGAAUGUAAGAGAUCACCAUUUUGUAGUAUUUACUGUAUAUGUUGGCCUGGAGAGCUUUUAAUGAUAAUUUCUAAUGAAAACAAUGGUUCUUCUUAAAUACCCUGUGGCUGAGUAAUUGUUGGUUGUUUUACAGUACUGGGAUAUACUUGAACAAACUCAGUGUCUGGAAGGAUGUCAUUCUAUCUGUGAUAUGUAAAGAGAAAUUACUACAGUACUGACAUCAUGCAAUGUUUAUAAUAUUUCUUAAGUUUCUACAAUUUACUAUUUAACCUUAAUAAUAUGAGAUUAAAAAAAAUGCACCAGGUAUGUAACUAGGUAUAAUAUAUGAAAACUGAAAUGACUAUUGUAAUUUAAUAAUAAAGACUUUAUAUAGGUAAAGAGGUAUUGCCAGAUGUGUUAUAUAUUUAUUUAUCACCCUUGUGGAACGUAUCAACUAGACCAGGGGUGUCAAACUGAAGGCCCGCAGGCCAGAUCUGGCCCACGGGUGCUUAGAUCUGGGCCCAUGGGGCUGCCCUGGAAACAGCAAAGGACCGGCCCGCGAUGCCUCUGCCAGUGAAAAUGGAGUUUGGGAAGGCCUCAUGCACUUCUGUGUUCAUCUGCGAUGACCUCCUUCAACCCUCUGCCAGAGAAAACAGAGCGCAGGAGGGCUGCGUGGCCCUCCCAAGCUCCAUUUUUUCUGGCAGAACAUUCAGGCCUCCACAGGGGGGAGCACCCAACAUAAGUGAUGUCAAGUUGGCCGUGCCCCCCGUGCCCCCCGAGGUCAAACACAACCCUGAUGCAGCCCUCAAUGAAAUCAAGUUUGACACCCAUGAACUAGACUAUAUCAAAUGCAACACCUGUUUUGAUUCUCAAGUUAAAAAAAAAUAGAAAAAUACUUUUCACCAUAUUUACUAAGAUCUAGUUCAUUACGCUGAGCAUAAUGGGGGUCUUUGCCUUAAGGUCAAUAUUUAUAUAAAUAUAGUCCAUUGGCUUUCAUGGCUUUGUUGUAUGUUGUAAGAAUCUGAUCUAAAUCAGAAGGCUACAACAUGUGCAUUUACUGAAAUGGUGGGUAAUCAAGUUCCAGUUCUGGAAGGUCCACUGAGUUUUUCGUGGGUAGAUUUUUAUACGAGGCUCCUCUGUUGAUGACCCCUCCUACCUAACAUCUUUCUAUGUAGUGUGUUCACUGGUAGGUGAAGAGAAGAACGAUAAUUUUACUUUUUUUCCAGUUAUUUGGGCUAAAAGUAAAACGUGACAGAGCCAGUUACAAAAGAAGAAUGGGAAAAAGGAGGAGAACAUCUAUUAUUCACUGGUCCACCAGUGAACCUGCUUUUUUAAAAAGUUUCACCAGUCCACUAAUGGAAAAGAAGAAAAGUUUUUCACUAUUUAUUGACACGCUAGUUGUACAAAUGGAUAGGAACUAGUAAACUGACCAAAUUUAUUGGAAAUAUAUAAAUAAUCCAUAUUAUAUUUUACUUAGACCUACAUCAGAGGAUGGUGGAGUGCAAAAUUUACAUGUCUCUGUUUUUUUUCUUAGAGACGUAACACCUCCAAAAUAGGUGGCAGCAACCAGUGACUAGAGGGCAUGCCAGCGGCUCCAUACAGCAGCCAAGAGGAAUGCAAAUGUGGCUUAGAUAAAAUUAAACUGUGGAACCCACAAGGCUGGUUUCAAUCUGGUACAAGUUGUAACACACCAGUUUUGAAGCAGAGCAGGAAAGCAUGAUUGUAGCUGCCCCUACACCACAAAAGGAUAAGCUGAGGGUGACACUGUCCAUUGAAGGCACUUCAAUUAAAUUGUUAAAACAUUGCUAGCUAGCAGAUUAUGUGGAAGAGCCCCACUUAUAAAUUGGAUUCACAAAUCAUACGUCAUGAUUUCUUGAACCAAAAUUUGUGAGGUAAAAAAAAACCCAUUUAGCUAAGUUUAUCCUAACAUGCAGAGCCAUAAACAACAGUUUAUAAACUACAGUUCUUGAAUCCAUAUAAUUCUCACAAAUGGAGCAGAUUUGGAGACAACCCUAUGGUUGUAGUGAUGUUCCACAUUUAUAAUCUCACCUGCUACAUGCCUUAGAUCAGGGGUCUGCAUACUUGGCUCUUUUGUGGACUUCAACUCCCACAGUUCAAUUCUGUGAGUUGAAGUCCACAAGUCUUAAAAGAGCCAUGUUUGCAGACCCCUGUCCUAGAUUAACCACUGAAUAGCUUUGAAGCAGUGGUGGAAUUCAAAUUUUUUUACUACCGGUUCUGUGGGCGUGGCUUGGUGGGCAUGGUGCAGUUUGGUGGGUGUGGCUUAUUGGGUGUGGCAAGGGAAGGAUACUGCAAAAUCUCCAUUCCCAACCCACUCCAGGGGAAGGAUACUGCAAAAUCUCUAUUCCUCCCUCACUCCUGGGGGAAGGAUAUUGA